GCGGCGGACGGGUGAGUAAUGCCUAGGAAUCUGCCUAGUAGUGGGGGAUAACUUGCCGAAAGGUAAGCUAAUACCGCAUACGUCCUACGGGAGAAAGCAGGGGACUCUUCGGAGCCUUGCGCUAUUAGAUGAGCCUAGGUCGGAUUAGUUAGUUGGUGAGGUAAUGGCUCACCAAGACUGCGAUCCGUAACUGGUCUGAGAGGAUGAUCAGUCACACUGGAACUGAGACACGGUCCAGACUCCUACGGGAGGCAGCAGUGGGGAAUAUUGGACAAUGGGGGAAACCCUGAUCCAGCCAUGCCGCGUGUGUGAAGAAGGUCUUAGGAUUGUAAAGCACUUUAAGUUGGGAGGAAGGGCAGUUAACUAAUACUUGACUGUUUUGACGUUACCGACAGAAUAAGCACCGGCUAACUUCGUGCCAGCAGCCGCGGUAAUACGAAGGGUGCAAGCGUUAAUCGGAAUUACUGGGCGUAAAGCGCGCGUAGGUGGUUCGUUAAGUUAGGAGUGAAAGCCCCGG
rnacentral:rRNA from 1 species